GGGGGAAUAUUGCACAAUGGGGGAAACCCUGAUGCAGCGACGCCGCGUGAGCGAAGAAGUAUCUCGGUAUGUAAAGCUCUAUCAGCAGGGAAGAAAAUGACGGUACCUGACUAAGAAGCUCCGGCUAAAUACGUGCCAGCAGCCGCGGUAAUACGUAUGGAGCAAGCGUUAUCCGGAUUUACUGGGUGUAAAGGGAGCGUAGGCGGUAAGGCAAGUCUGAUGUGAAAACCCAGGGCUCAACCCUGGGACUGCAUUGGAAACUGUUUAACUGGAGUGUCGGAGAGGCAAGUGGAAUUCCUAGUGUAGCGGUGAAAUGCGUAGAUAUUAGGAGGAACACCAGUGGCGAAGGCGGCUUGCUGGACGAUGACUGACGCUGAGGCUCGAAAGCGUGGGGAGCAAACAGGAUUAGAUACC
rnacentral:rRNA from 1 species